UUACACAUGCAAGUCGAGGGGCAGCAUAGUCAUAGCAAUAUGACUGAUGGCGACCGGCGCACGGGUGAGUAACACGUAUCCAACCUGCCUGUUACUUGGGGAUAGGCUUUCGAAAGAAAGAUUAAUACCCAAUGGUAUAGUUUUCCCUCCUGGGAUUGCUAUUAAAGAAUUUCGGUAACAGAUGGGGAUGCGUUCCAUUAGAUAGUUGGUGGGGUAACGGCCCACCAAGUCCGCGAUGGAUAGGGGUUCUGAGAGGAAGGUCCCCCACAUUGGAACUGAGACACGGUCCAAACUCCUACGGGAGGCAGCAGUGAGGAAUAUUGGUCAAUGGGCGGUAGCCUGAACCAGCCAAGUAGCGUGAAGGAUGAAGGCUCUAUGGGUCGUAAACUUCUUUUAUAAAGGAAUAAAGUCACCCACGUGUGGGUGUUUGUAUGUACUUUAUGAAUAAGGAUCGGCUAACUCCGUGCCAGCAGCCGCGGUAAUACGGAGGAUCCGAGCGUUAUCCGGAUUUAUUGGGUUUAAAGGGAGCGUAGGUGGAUUAUUAAGUCAGCCUGUGAAAGUUUGCGGCUCAACCGUAAAAUUGCAGUUGAUACUGGUAGUCUUGAGUUAAGUAAAGGUGGGCGGAAUUCGUGGUGUAGCGGUGAAAUGCUUAGAUAUCACGAAGAACUCCGAUUGCGAAGGCAGCUCACUGGACUUCGACUGACACUGAUGCUCGAAAGUGUGGGUAUCAAACAGGAUUAGAUACCCUGGUAGUCCACACAGUAAACGAUGAAUACUCGCUGUUUGCGAUACACAGUAAGCGGCCAAGCGAAAGCGUUAAGUAUUCCACCUGGGGAGUACGCCGGCAACGGUGAAACUCAAAGGAAUUGACGGGGGCCCGCACAAGCGGAGGAACAUGUGGUUUAAUUCGAUGAUACGCGAGGAACCUUACCCGGGCUUAAAUUGCAACUGACAGAUCAGGAAACUGGUCUUCCUUCGGGCAGUUGUGAAGGUGCUGCAUGGUUGUCGUCAGCUCGUGCCGUGAGGUGUCGGCUUAAGUGCCAUAACGAGCGCAACCCUUAUCUUUAGUUACUAACAGGUUAUGCUGAGGACUCUGGAGAGACUGCCGUCGUAAGAUGUGAGGAAGGUGGGGAUGACGUCAAAUCAGCACGGCCCUUACGUCCGGGGCUACACACGUGUUACAAUGGGGGGUACAGAAGGCAGCUACCUGGUGACAGGAUGCUAAUCCCAAAAGCCUCUCUCAGUUCGGAUCGAAGUCUGCAACCCGACUUCGUGAAGCUGGAUUCGCUAGUAAUCGCGCAUCAGCCACGGCGCGGUGAAUACG
rnacentral:rRNA from 1 species